rnacentral:lncRNA from 1 species
AAGACGUGGGGCCUGGCCGGGAGAAGGGCUUGUUGAUGGAGAAAAUUGAUGGGUUUGUGGUGGUUAGGGAUACCACCGCGCCGUCAUGGUGUGCAUGAGGUUUGUGAUUCUGCACUUCUGGAACAUGAUUUCCACUUCGUUUGCUUCUGGUUUCACCAACCUUUCCAUGGUGGUUUGGUACUGAACUAGAGAAACAGAGAAAGGUUCUUUGCUUUGUGUUCUUACUUGUUAUUCUUGCUCUUUCUGUUCUGACUUUGGAUUUAUCAAAUCAAUUUAUUAUGGAUGAAAAUAGUUGCUUGCUGGAAGGGUGCUGUUCUUUCUUUCCUUUGAAUCAUUUCCCUUUUUUUUAUUGAUGUUUACAAUUUCUUUGUACAUGUUUAAUUCUAGCUUAGUGUGAAUCAGAGAUAUAGCUUCAGGGAUCAACAGUAUAAUGGUUAAUCCUUCAUUACACUUCUUAGUUUCUAAUUCAAAUAUAUAUAAUUUUCUUUCAUCUGUUUGAGUUGUUCAUACGUUAAUUAUGAACUAUUCCCAUGUGGUUAUGUGUUUCAAUCAAUAAAAUCUCUGUUUUCAUUGGUGUACAAACUUGCCCAGGCUCCACAAAAUUCUUGGCUCCGCCACUGUGCAGGGAGAAUAUCUAUGGAAGGAACGAGGAAUCCACAUCUCACAGCAACUUUCCCAUUUGCAAUCUUUGUACUCGGAGUAGACAUCUGAUAGGCUUUGUUUUCGGAUUGCCCUCUAGGACUAUGUUGUGGUUUAUCCUGCCAAGUGCCAACAAAUAAUUUUAGUACCAAAGAGCAUGGUUUGGC